rnacentral:rRNA from 1 species
CCUACGGGUGGCUGCAGUGAGGAAUAUUGGUCAAUGGGCGCGAGCCUGAACCAGCCAAGUAGCGUGAAGGAUGAAUGCCCUACGGGUUGUAAACUUCUUUUAUAAAGGGAUAAAGUGAGGCACGUGUGCCUUUUUGUAUGUACUUUAUGAAUAAGCAUCGGCUAACUCCGUGCCAGCAGCCGCGGUAAUACGGAGGAUCCGAGCGUUAUCCGGAUUUAUUGGGUUUAAAGGGAGCGUAGAUGGGUUGUUAAGUCAGUUGUGAAAGUUUGCGGCUCAACCGUAAAAGUGAAAUUGAAACUGGCAGCCUUGAGUACAGUUGAGGUAUGCGGAAUGCGUGGUGUAGCGGUGAAAUGCUUAGAUAUCACGAAGAACUCCGAUUGCGAAGGCAGCCUACUAAGCUGCCACUGACAUUGAUGCUCGAAAGUGUGGGUAUCAAACAGGAUUAGAUACCCUAGUAGUC